rnacentral:lncRNA from 1 species
UAAGUUGUAAUAAAAUGAGUGGAAAAAAAAUUUGUAUGGAUCAUGUGCUACUCAUUACCUAUGUGUUGUUCAACUUCAACCCAAGUUUUCCUUUGUUUGGCAUGUUUAUGUUGAAAUAAAAGUUGGUUGAAUCAUGCAUGCAUGUUCAAAGGAAGGCAAAGUUUGACCAGCGAGGAAGACAAAACUUUAAUUUAAUUCAUUUCAUUUUCUUCUCUUGUAAAUCAUUAAUAUUUGAUCACCUAAAACAACGAAAACCGUAAUAUUUUGGUUGAGAAUUAUACUUUG